rnacentral:rRNA from 1 species
UCCUACGGGACGCAGCAGUGAGGAAUAUUGGUCAAUGGUCGGGAGACUGAACCAGCCAAGCCGCGUGAGGGAUGAAGGUACAGAGUAUCGUAAACCUCUUUUGUCAGGGAACAAAGGCGGGGACGUGUCCCCGGAUGAGUGUACCUGAAGAAAAAGCAUCGGCUAACUCCGUGCCAGCAGCGGCGGUAAUACGGAGGAUGCGAGCGUUAUCCGGAUUUAUUGGGUUUAAAGGGUGCGCAGGCGGUCUGUUAAGUCAGCGGUCCAAGCCCGGGGCUCAACCCCGGCCCGCCGUUGAAACUGGCAGU